UGGGGAAUCUUCCGCAAUGGGCGAAAGCCUGACGGAGCAACGCCGCGUGAAUGAAGAAGGCCUUCGGGUCGUAAAGUUCUGUCUUUUGGGAAGAAGUCUCUAUCUGUAAAUAAUGGAUAGAGGUGACGGUACCGAAGGAGGAAGCUCCGGCUAACUACGUGCCAGCAGCCGCGGUAAUACGUAGGGAGCGAGCGUUGUCCGGAAUUACUGGGCGUAAAGGGCGCGUAGGUGGGUAUUUAAGUCAGAUGUGAAAACUCUAGGCUCAACCUGGAGAUUGCAUUUGAAACUGGGUAUCUUGAGGGCAGGAGAGGAAAGUGGAAUUCCUAGGGUAGCGGUGAAAUGCGUAGAUAUUAGGAGGAACACCAGUGGCGAAGGCGACUUUCUGGACUGUACCUGACACUGAGGCGCGAAAGCGUGGGGAGCGAACG
rnacentral:rRNA from 1 species